ACAUUUUUUAGAGUAUCUACUUUUUAACAUUAAUUUUUGGUAUCCCGAUAUGUUUUGGAUACGUUUAGAUACGUUGUUGAUACGUUUUGGAUACGCAUGGGGUUAAAAUUGUUAUUACUUAAAAUUAAAGGGUCAAAACUGCAAUUAGGUGUACAUAUAUUUUUUGAUCUGAUACGUACAUAUUCAAGUCGAUUACAGAGAAGGAAAAGGCAGAAGUCGAUCUGGAAGUCUCUCGUUCGCCUCUCAUCUCUCAACAAGAGACGUGGAUCUAUCAACUAUAUAUAGGACAGAACGACGUAGAUGACAAAGCAGAAGGAAGAGAGAGAAGCAAGGUAAAGUUUCUGAUAGUACAACUUGUCCGUGGAGAAUGGGGGAGGAAGGUGUAUAUAUAGCAAUUAGUGGGAGAGUGCAGAAUGGGGGAGGAAGCUGCCUAGCAAUUUGGGACUAAAAGUGAAAUGAAAUGGGCUCAUUGGUUGGCUUGACCUCAGUAAUUUUAUGGUCACAGAAUGAAGUAGAAGAAGAAGCAGAAGGGAGAGAGAGAAGCAAGGUAAAGUUUCUGAUAGUACAACUUGUCGGUGGAGAAUGGGGGAGGAAGGUGUCUAUAGAGCAAUUAGUGGGAGAGUGCAGAAUGGGGGAGGAAGCUGCCUAGCAAU